UGUAAGCGUAUACCAAAGUUGUUGCAGUUAAAACGCUCGUAGUCGGAAUUUGGCAGUUCCGGAUGUGUGCACGUCGUGUGCGCACUUCGCGGGGAUUGCUUUUGUGGUCUUGCGUAGGAUGAGGCACUUUUAUUAGUGAACGUCCUCACGCAACCACUUUUUACUGUGAGAAAAUCAGAGUGCUCAAAGCAGGCAUUUGCCGUGAAUGUAUUAGCAUGGAAUAAUAGAAUAGGACUUGGUUCUAUUUUGUUGGUUUGUUGGGACUGAGUAAUGAUUAAGAGGGACAGUUGGAGGCAUUUGUAUUUCGGUGCUAGAGGUGAAAUUCUUAGAUUACCGAAAGACAAACUGCUGCGAAAGCGUCUGCCAAGGAUGUUUCCAUUGA
rnacentral:rRNA from 1 species